rnacentral:lncRNA from 1 species
AUAAUUCCAUUAUCUCUGUCACUUCUGAUUCUGCUUAUUUUCUUCUGUUUUGAGGUAAUAUAGUGUUUCUUUGCUUGUCUAGUGAAUUUUUAUUAAAUAUAUUAUGAAUGUUAUAAUAAUGGGUGUUAAUUAUUAUUUUUCUCUAAGGAGGGCUUAAGUUUGUCUUGUUAGGCAAUUAAGUUACUUGCAAAUCAUAUUAAUGUAUUCAAAACUUAUUUUUAAGCUUUGUUAGGGUUGUCCAAAGUAGCCCUAACUCUAGGGCUAAUUAAGCGAAACUACCAACACAUGAUUCUCUAGGUUCUUUACCGACUUCCUUGAGGCUCAGUGGGGUUUCUCAGCUCUGGCUGGAAGGGAUUUGAGUAUCUCUUAACCUUGCUUAAACUCUAGGAGUUGUGCAGGUUACAGUUCCCGGAGUAUUUUUCCUGAGCAGUUACUAUUUGUGCAGCUUUGUGGAGUUUUGUUGUAUCCAUGCAUAGUUAAGGGGGCCUUUAUGCAUAUUUCUCUACAGAAAUUGUUACUCUCCAAUAAUUUGCCCUGCAAAUUCUGGCUGUCUCAUCCUCCCACAAGUUCAAUAUUUGUCUUUUCAGCUUAGCAACAUUUCUUUUGCAUUUCUUGGGAUCUUCCUCCCUUUGCCAUCUUCCAGAAAUUGUCUAUAGGCAGAAAGCAAGGGCAAUAGUAGGCUUCACCUCUGUUUUCCUUUUCUCAGUGAUCACAGUCCCACUCUGCCUGUUCUCUCAAUGUCUGAAAGAUUUGUUUUAUGUAUUUUGCCUAAGUUUCUAGUUAUUUGUGCUAAGUAGGCUGGUUUUGUACCAGAAGCAGAAAUCAACUAAAGAUGAAUUUUAGGGAAGAGUUCUGGAAUAUGCCUCAUUGGCCAGAACUGAAGCUAUCUAUACCUACAAAGGAGACUGGAAAUGCAGCUUCUUCUGGGAAAAUAAAACAAAGGAGAGCAGAUUUUGUGAAAGAGUGAGCAUUAUAUACCAUCAUUGGAUAGUUGUUAGCUCACUUACCAGCGUAGCAACUUCUUGAGUGGAGGGUCAGAGCUUUCCUCAUUUCAGUAGCCUAUGAAGAGCCUGGUGCUCAUGACGUUCUUAGGAAAAAAACAUUGAAAAGAACAUGAUCCUGAGUACUGAACUCAUAAUUAGGCAUGAAGAAAGGAGACAAUGUAUGGUGGGUGAAAGUGGCAGAGAGAGUUGGAGACAAGGUUGGAAAUUAUCUUGGAGCUCCAAAUGCAUUGGCUCAUAGAUUAUUUUAAAACUCUGUUGAGGAAUCCGGGACUACAGAGCCCUGUUGUUCCCCUCACCUCCAAUGUCCUUUUCCAGACACCCAUGUCAUGUGUUUUAAAGCUCAGAUCAUAGAUCAUAAGCGAGCUACUAGAUGGAGCCUUCUCUGAUGUCCUACUUGUGGCACAGUUUUUCUACAGCAUGGUUUCUGUCAAGUUUUCAAAGCAUAUAAUGAUUCAUACUGCUGAUUUCUACCCUCAAGAAAGUGGAAUCUAUUCGGAAUUUCAAAAUAAAAACAAAGUUGUCUUUUAUUUCUGUUACUUUUUUACUUCCGUCACAAUGCCUGCCACCGUGAACACAAAGCAUAUUAAAUAAGAUCACUGUUCCUUGACCUGGUGUCAAGCAGCUGUUUGGAAGUUGUUUGUGUGUCAGUUGAGACAUAAUAAUAGAAUAAGCAUCCUGACAUCACUUGCCCUCUGACCACCAGUAGUGAUAGGGCUUGCUUUACUCAAGGAGGAAGUCCUUAACAACUCGAUCUACCCAGGCAAACACAACAAUCAUUCAGCUUUUUGUUUCAUUUUUUCCUUAACCUAUCACCAUGAAACAAAAUAGCAACAGAAAUAAUCAGCAGAGUAAACAGACAAACCACAGAGUGGGAGAAAAUAUUAACAAAUUAUGAACCUGACGAAGGACUAAUAUCCAGAAUCUACCAGAAACUCAAAUCAGCAAGAAAAAAAAAACAACCCCAUCAAAAAGUGGGCAAAGGACAUGAAUAGACAAUUCUCAAAAGAAGAUAUACAAAUGGCCAACAAACAUAUGAAAAUGUGCCCAACAUCAGUAAUUAUCAGGGAAAUGCAAAUUAAAACCACAAUGAGAUACCACCUUACUCCUGCAAGAAUGGUCAUAAUUUAAAAAUUAAAAAGUAAUAGAUGUUGGCAUGGAUGUGAUGAAAAGGGAACACUUUUAUGCGCUGGUGGGAAUGUAAACUAGUACAGCCAUUAUGGAAAACAGUAUGGAGUUCCUUAAACAACUAAAAGUAGAACUACCAUUGGAUCCAGCAAUCCCACUACUGAGUAUCUACCUAAGGGAAAGAAGUCAUUAUAUGAAAAAAACACUUGCACACGCAUGUUUAUAGCAGCACAUUUCACAAUUGCAAAACUAUGGAACCAACCUGAAUGCCCAUCAACCAAUGAGUGGAUAAAGAAAAUGUGGUAUCUAUACACCAUUGAAUACUACUCAGCAUAAAAGGGAAUGAAAUAAUGGCAUCUGCAGCAAUCUAGAUGGAGUUGGAGACCAUUUUUCUAAGGAAAGUAACUCAGGGAUGGAAAACCAAAUAUUUUAUGUUUUUACUUGCAAGUGGGAGCUAAGCUAUGAGGAUGCAAAGGCCUAAGAAUGAUACAAUGGACUUCGGGUACUCAGGGGGAAGGGUGGGAGAGGGGUGAGGAAUAAAAGACUACACAUUGGUUAUAGUGUAUACUGCUUGGGUGACAGGUGCACCAACAUCUCAGAAAUCACCACUAAAGAACUUAUCCAUGGAACUAAAAACCACCUGUUCCCCAAAAACUGUUGAAAUAAAAAUAAACUGUCUAGCAUUAAUUUUUCUGUGUAGGAAAAAAUAAAGUCUUUUAAUGAA